rnacentral:misc_RNA from 1 species
GAUGAAGAACGUAGCGAAAUGCGAUACGUAAUGUGAAUUGCAGAAUUCAGUGAAUCAUCGAGUCUUUGAACGCACAUUGCGCCCCCUGGUAUUCCGGGGGGCAUGCCUGUCCGAGCGUCAUUGCUGCCCUCAAGCACGGCUUGUGUGUUGGGCCUCCGUCCUCCUCCCGGGGGACGGGCCCGAAAGGCAGCGGCGGCACCGCGUCCGGUCCUCGAGCGUAUGGGGCUUCGUCACCCGCUCUUGUAGGCCCGGCCGGCGCUUGCCGACACAUCAAUCUUUUUUCCAGGUUGACCUCGGAUCAGGUAGGGAUACCCGCUGAACUUAAGCAUAUCAUAGGCGGAGGA